UACGUAGGGUGCAAGCGUUGUCCGGAAUUAUUGGGCGUAAAGAGCUCGUAGGCGGCCAACUAAGUCAGACGUGAAAUCCCCAGGCUCAACCUGGGAACUGCGUCUGAUACUGGAUGGCUUGAAUCCGGGAGAGGGAUGCAGAAUUCCAGGUGUAGCGGUGAAAUGCGUAGAUAUCUGGAGGAAUACCGGUGGCGAAGGCGGCAUCCUGGACCGGCAUUGACGCUGAGGAGCGAAAGCUAGGGGAGCAAACGGG
rnacentral:rRNA from 1 species